GGCUGAUAGUCCUGUUGCUUUGUUAAUGGCAAUGCUCUGCUGCGGUCGAGAGCAGAGACCAGGGUUUACAAUAUGGAAGGUCAUGGAAGGUUUUAUGUUAGGAUGGCUGACUGGUUUAUGGUCAGAGAUGAUUACAUAUCAUCACGCAGUUCAUAACGAUAUGUUUUAACCUGUAGAGGUAGGACUAUAUGAAGGUUAGAGGAGAGAUGGUAGGUCUAUAAGAACGUUAGAGGAGAGAUGGUAGGACUAUAUGAAGGUUAGAGGAGAGAUGGUAGGACUAUAUGAAGGUUAGAGGAGAGAUGGUAGGUCUAUAAGAACGUUAGAGGAGAGAUGGUAGGACUAUAUGAAGGUUAGAGGAGAGAUGGUAGGACUAUAUGAAGGUUAGAGGAGAGAUGGUAGGACUAUAUGAAGGUUAGAGGAGAGAUGGUAGGACUAUAUGAAGGUUAGAGGAGAGAUGGUAGGACUAUAUGAAGGUUAGUGGAGAGAUGGUAGGACUAUAUGAAGGUUAGAGGAGAGAUGGUAGGACUAUAUGAAGGUUAGAGGAGAGAUGGUAGGACUAUAUGAAGUUUAGAGGAGAGAUGGUAGGACUAUAUGAAGGUUAGAGGAGAGAUGGUAGGACUAUAUGAAGAUUAGAGGAGAGAUGGUAGGACUAUAUGAAGGUUAGAGGAGAGAUGGUAGGACUAUAUGAAGGUUAGAGGAGAGAUGGUAGGACUAUAUGAAGUUUAGAGGAGAGAUGGUAGGACUAUAUGAAGGUUAGAGGAGAGAUGGUAGGACUAUAUGAAGGUUAGAGGAGAGAUGGUAGGUCUAUAUGAAGGUUAGAGGAGAGAUGGUAGGACUAUAUGAAGGUUAGAGGAGAGAUGGUAGGACUAUAUGAAGGUUAGAGGAGAGAUGGUAGGACUAUAUGAAGGUUAGAGGAGAGAUGGUAGGACUAUAUGAAGGUUAGAGGAGA
rnacentral:lncRNA from 1 species